AUUGAACGCUGGCGGCAGGCCUAACACAUGCAAGUCGAGCGGUAGAGAGGAGCUUGCUUCUCUUGAGAGCGGCGGACGGGUGAGUAAUGCCUAGGAAUCUGCCUAGUGGUGGGGGAUAACGUUCGGAAACGGACGCUAAUACCGCAUACGUCCUACGGGAGAAAGCGGGGGACCUUCGGGCCUCGCGCCAUUAGAUGAGCCUAGGUCGGAUUAGCUAGUUGGUGAGGUAACGGCUCACCAAGGCGACGAUCCGUAACUGGUCUGAGAGGAUGAUCAGUCACACUGGAACUGAGACACGGUCCAGACUCCUACGGGAGGCAGCAGUGGGGAAUAUUGGACAAUGGGCGAAAGCCUGAUCCAGCCAUGCCGCGUGUGUGAAGAAGGUCUUCGGAUUGUAAAGCACUUUAAGUUGGGAGGAAGGGUAGUAACCUAAUACGUUGCUACUUUGACGUUACCGACAGAAUAAGCACCGGCUAACUUCGUGCCAGCCGCCGCAGUAAUAC
rnacentral:rRNA from 1 species